UCAAAUGACCAUAACAACACUCUGGUCUCCUAGCUAUGACCCCCUCAGCCACAGUAAUGUCCUUGUCUUAGCCAACCCAAAUGCUCUGGCAGUUUGCAAAGACUCGGCUUCCUGGAGAACUUUAAUGGCCAUCAGUGAGGGCUCAGGAUAAGGGACCAAUGGAGGUUCUUCUCACAGCCCUUUCAGAGAUGCCCUGACUCCUCCCUAGGAAUGUCAGUAGGCAAGACAGUGAGCAGAGCUGCAUGAGCCACCACAGGGUCGCCAUGCCAACCUCCCUGUCCAUCACAGCACAGGGUAUUAUGACUCUAUGGGUCAGGGAGACACCCUGGCAGGCAGUGGGGUCUCCACCCAGUAUAGUCCUACUCUGCCCUUAGUGCAGGUCUACUAGUAGAGGCUAUUGUUACUUGAUUAAAGGAAAGACUUGAUUAAAGGGGUAUAGGCCCCUGUACAUUGCUUGAAAGAGUGUAGGUUCCAGCUUGCCUACUUAAAGAGGUUAGCGUCCCUUGCAGCCUCCCGGGCUGCCAAGGAAAUGGAAAGCAGCUGCUUAAGGGUGCCUGGACUUGCAUUCCUCCUCUUGCUGGUUUUGCCCCCUCUGCUGCCAAGCAGUGGGGCAUACCAGCAGAGAGCCCCGACCUGGCUAGAUUUCCACCACCUCACUCGGGCCAGGAGAAGCCUCCCCAGCAACACCAACCAGGAUGGGGAGAGCACCCGCCAGGGCCACAGCCAGGACACCGGGUCCAGGGAGAGGCUGGCAGAUCACAAGAAAUCCUGCCAGAGCAAUCUUGACCUCUAUUUAAUCUUGGACAAGUCAGGAAGUGUGGACACCAACUGGAUAUUUAUGUACGGCUUCGUAGAGGAUUUCCUCAAAAUGUUUCAAAAUCCGAACAUGCGGGUCUCGAUCGUCACCUUCUCCACAUGGGGCCACACCGUCCUAAAGCUCACCUCGGACAAAAAAGAAAUCGAAGACGGUCUCAACAAACUACGCAACACAGUGCCUACCGGAAACACAAACAUGCAGGAAGGAUUUAAAGCGGUCAAUGAGCAGAUCUCCACAGCAAACUCUAGAGAAAAGAAAGUGCACUCCAUGGUUGUCUCCCUAAUUGAUGGAGCACUUUGGCCAGAGUCCUUUCAGGCUACGAAGAAUGAAGCUCAGAGGACUCGACAACUGGGAGGGACUGUUUACGUUGUGGGUGUCAACAACUACGUGAAAAAUCAGCUCCUGGCAAUUGCAGACAGCGAGGAUCACGUGGUUGGUGUGGACAGUGGAUUCUAUGAUCUCAGGAACAUCGUUGACUCACUCGCAGCUAAGUCCUGCGUUGAGCUGACAAGUGUGGGACCGACAGAUUACUGUGUGGGAGAAAACUAUGAUGUAGGCAUCUUUGGAAGAGGUUUUCAUAACACCAAAAACAAAAAAGAAGUUCUUUGCAGAUUUCAAAUAAGUGACACCGUAUUUUUUGAUAAAAAAGCCACCCAGGUGGAAGACACCAGCAUAAAGUGUCCGGGAAUGAAGAUAGAGGUACCAGCCAACGAGAUCUCUGUUGAAGUGAGCCUGAACAACGGUGCCAGCUUCAUCAGCAACGGGCUCAAGAUCAGCAGCAAGGACUGUGGGAGUCACAGGACUGGCCAGAGGACACGCAUUGGCCCCUCAGGAUUCCCGCCGACGCACAACCCGUCUGUCAUCAGGCCCAUGAGGAAAGUCCUCAGGAGAAACGUAGGUCUGGUCCAGGCACAGCAGCCACCUGACCCUUCCAAUGCGGCAGCGGCAGGUCCCGGAAAUCAAGGCUCACAGUUCCCCAACAUCAACCCUUAUCACUUGGCUGCAUGCAUGCUGGUACUAAUACCUCUGAUGAUAGGGUGCUUGUGGCUACUCCACCGCAGAAAGAACAAGAUGGUGGUGAGUUGUGUUUUGUUCCUGAUGCCCACACAGACCUGCACAAGAAAGCUGCCUGAGCUGUAGGAUAUCUCUAUUUCCCACCCCACCAUCUCCACCUACCUGGACAGAGAGAGCUGGCAGAAAGCAGGGAACCUUGUUUACAAACGUGCCCCACAGUGGUGGUCCCUUGUGGUGGAGAUGACAACCUCAGAUACCUAGAGGUGAGAUGGACCAGUAGGAGGGAGCUGUGGGCAGGUCGGGCUCGAAGGAGAGUAACAGGUUGGGCCCAGAAGGUGUGGCUUGGAUGGAGAGGAGUGUUCAGGACACUGAGCUUUACUCACUUGGCCCCAAUACCAGGCUCUCCCCUCAAGGGGCUCACGUUUAUGGAAUCACUGCUUUCACAGCGGUUCUCAUCAGCCCCAUCAAUGACUUGGGUCUCCUGGGGAGUAGCAGUGGGUUAAAACAAAAUCACAAAUUCAUGAAGGUCAGAAAAUAAAAGCAGGAAAUCUGAGUCAAGAUCUUUCCCCCAUUGGGUGGACAUGCUGGUGCACCUGGCACCCACAGAAACCAGCUCAGCAGAGGGAGGGAGGGAGCUGCUGCCUUGUCCUCCUGUCCUCAGCAGGUAUGACAAGGGUCCCAUGGAGGAGGGGCCUGAAGGGAAUGUCCUUGCCCAGGAAGAGCUGGGCCCGCCCUGCUGACACACAUCCCACACUGGGGCCCCAGCACAAAAUAGAGUCCAGAUGGCUGGGGUGGAUGAAGAAACAAGCCACAAUUUCUGCCUGGUAUUUCCAGUCCUCCUUGUCCUGCCUCGGUCCUUUUUGGGGGCCAUGGCUUCCUCCAGGAGCUUCUAUGGCACCAGGAGAGCCAGCAAUGCCUUCUUCUCAGGGUGCAAUACAGCAGUGCCCAACACAUCUUCCGGAGAGGUGGAAGCCCUGACCAAGGGCUCGUUCCUGUUCCAGGAUAUGGCUCCCCCACUGACAACAUCAGGGCAGAGCUGGAGUGCAGGGUCCAGAGCUCCCCUAGGAUCCCCCACCAGGGAUCCAGGUCACUCUCGGUUUGUCCUGAGCCUCCUCUUCUCUCCACCCUCUGUCAGCCGGACCCUGCACACUUUCAGGCCAUGGAGCCUUCCCUGCCUUCCCUGGUGGACCUCAUGAGUGCAGGCCUCCUCCUCCCUUCCUUCUAGCUCCUUCCCAGGUACCCUGCAGGCACCUCAUGUUCCCCUCCGAGACACCGCAGAUCACCUCCAGCCUUGUACUUUAACUCUGCUCGUAGCUCCUGGCUUGUUCUGCAAAUAUACUAAUUUGUACAUCCCUAAAAAUUCCUGACUCACACCCUGACCUACAAAGCAGGCCCAUUGUCACAAGGAAGGCCACUAUCCUCCCCCAGGGAGUUUGUGGGGACAGAGCUCAGGUGCCUUUGGGAACUGGAGGGGACACUGUCCCGCUGGAGGCAGCAGCCAGCUCAGAGCUUCCUCACAGCCUCUUCUGCUUUCCAGGACAAACUGGACACUCUGCGCAUGCAGAUCAUGUGCAACAUAUUACAGAACCACAACCGGGGCCCAGUGAUAUGUUAUCAGCCCAGGCGCAAGCCAUGUUCCUUAAUCAGUUCUAGGGGUGGGAGGAUGCGCAGGUACCCACGCUGCUGCCUGCAACCCAGCCUGGCGUGCUGUCCCCUCGACUACUGCUGGAUGUGUUGCCCAUAUUCCCCGUGCCGACCUCCCCCACUCAUAAGCUCCCAGCCUCCCCCACUCAUAAGCUCCCAGCCUCCCCGACCCAUAUGCUCCCAGCCUCCCCCACUCAUAUGCUCCCAGCCUCCCCCACUCAUAUGCUCCCAGCCGCCACAAUCGGUCUGCUCCAGGCAGCCCUCCAGGAUGUCGCCAAUGAUCCCUGGCCCAGUUGGAAGAUGUGGUGGAAACCCUUUGGCACUCCUACCCCCAUAGACCAGUCAAUAAAUCCUGCAAAUCCAAGACUA